rnacentral:rRNA from 1 species
UACGUAGGGUGCGAGCGUUAAUCGGAAUUACUGGGCGUAAAGCGUGCGCAGGCGGUUCGUUAAGUCAGAUGUGAAAGCCCCGGGCUCAACCUAGGAACUGCAUUUGAAACUGGCGGGCUUGAGUGUGGCAGAGGGGGGUGGAAUUCCGCGUGUAGCAGUGAAAUGCGCAGAUAUCAGGAAGAACACCCGUGGCGAAGGCGGCUCUCUGGGACGGUACUGACGCUGAGACGCGAAAGCGUGGGGAGCGAACAGG